rnacentral:rRNA from 1 species
AUUGAAUGCUAGCGGGAUGCUUUACACAUGCAAGUCGAACGAGUGGCGGACGGGUGAGUAAUAUAUCGGAACGUGCCCAGUAGCGGGGGAUAACUACUCGAAAGAGUGGCUAAUACCGCAUACUAUUGGAGCGGCCGAUAUCGGAUUAGCUAGUUGGUGGGGUAAAGGCUCACCAAGGAAACGAUCCGUAGCUGGUUUGAGUGGACGACCAGUCACACUGGGACUGCGAAACGUCCCAGACUCAUACGGGAGGCAGCAGGGGGGAAUUUUGGACAAUGGGGGAAACCCUGAUCCAGCCAUACCGCGUGUAUGAGAAGGCCCUAGGGUUGUAAAGUACUUUCAGUCGGGAGGCGGUAACGACAGAAGAAGCACCGGCUAACUCCGUGCCAGCAGCCGCGGUAAUUC